CAAUAGCGUAUAUUAAAGUUGUUGCGGUCAAAAAGCUCGUAGUUGGAUUUCUACCGAAGAUAGCCGGUCGGGUCUUCGGCCUUGUAUCUGGUUUUGUCUUUGGUAUCCUCAUAGGGAACGUUUCUGCGCUUUAUUGCGUGGUGCGGUAUCUAUGACUUUUACUUUGAGGAAAUUAGAGUGUUCACGGCAGGCAAACGCCUUGAAUAUAUUAGCAUGGAAUAAUAACAUAGGAUCUUCGUCCUAUUUUGUUGGUUUCCAGGGCUAAGAUAAUGAUUAAUAGGGAUAAUUGGGGGCAUCUGUAUCAACGCGUCAGAGGUGGAAUUCUUGGAUUGCGUUGCGACAAACUACUGCGAAAGCAUUUGCCAAGGAUGUUUUCAUUGA
rnacentral:rRNA from 1 species